CAGUUGGUGACCGACUGACAGUUCUCCUCCUCAUCUAUAAACCCAUAUCCUUCCAAAUAAUCCGAUCAGCGAGCAACCAUGGCCGGAGAGAUCUUCGUAAUUUCAGCAGCCGGGCAAGGCCACCUCCAACCCUGUAUGGAGCUCUGCAACCACCUCCUCUCUCUCCACUACCACACCACCAUCGUCAUCCCCUCCUCUCUCUCCUCCGCCAUUCCCUCCUCCUUUUCCCAAAACCCACUCUCCCAAAUCGUCCCCGUCACCGCCUCUUCCGACCCUCCCCGACCCGGACCCGACCCGCUCCGCCAGCAAGCCGCCCUCGACCUCGACCGCCAC
rnacentral:lncRNA from 1 species